rnacentral:rRNA from 1 species
UUCCUACGGGAGGCAGCAGUGGGGGAUAUUGCACAAUGGGGGGAACCCUGAUGCAGCGACGCCGCGUGGGCGAUGGAGUGCUUCGGCAUGUAAAGCCCUAUCAGCAGGGAAGAAAAUGACGGUACCUGACUAAGAAGCCCCGGCUAAAUACGUGCCAGCAGCCGCGGUAAUACGUAUGGGGCAAGCGUUAUCCGGAUUUACUGGGUGUAAAGGGAGCGUAGACGGAAAGGCAAGUCAGAAGUGAAAACCCAAGGCUCAACCAUGGGACUGCUUUUGAAACUGUCAAACUAGAGUACGGGAGAGGG